GGGGCAUGAAAGAAUCCCUCCCUCUUGUAGCAGUGGUUUAAACAGAGGUGCAAACAGCAAGUGGAUCUCGUCGCCUUUGGGGAGCUCUGGCUGUGCCCCUCAAAGUGAAUUUGGAGGUUCUACACUC
rnacentral:snoRNA from 1 species